rnacentral:lncRNA from 1 species
AGUUUCAGAUACACCACCUCCACCACCUCCUGUGGAUGAGCCAGUGUUCGAUGAGUCCCCACCUCCACCACCUCCUCCAGAGGACUACGAAGAGGAGGAAGCAGCUGUGGUUGAGUACAGCGAUCCUUACGCCGAAGAGGACCCACCAUGGGCACCAAGGUCUUACUUGGAAAAGGUCGUGGCAAUCUAUGAUUAUACGAAAGACAAGGAGGAUGAGCUGUCCUUUCAGGAAGGAGCCAUUAUCUAUGUCAUCAAGAAGAACGAUGAUGGUUGGUAUGAGGGAGUUAUGAAUGGAGUGACUGGGCUCUUCCCUGGGAAUUACGUUGAGUCCAUCAUGCAUUAUUCGGAGUAAAGCCCAGCACAGCCGUGCUUCUUGUUCAGGUCAGGUAUUCCCAGAUUAGCUAGAGGCCCUGGGAAUUCCCUCCCAGGAAAUAGAUGAAGCAUACAAAUGAUAAAGUUACUCUUUUUAUUACUGUUUUGGUUUAUCCCCUAGUAUCAAAACCUGAAAGCCAAGUCUGAACAAGUGGAACUUCUUGGGUCAUUUGCAUUAUGCUAUCUAGAUUGAAAAUGCCAUUUCUCAGUCACGAAAGGCAUACCAACAUGAACAUAUAGCUAAAAUAUAUAGGACCAAGACUAACUUGAGAAAAAAAUCUGGGAUCUUCUCAGGAAUACUGUACACCCUUGGAUUUCUCUUCCUGCAGAAUCUGUGACAUUGGAUGCUCAUUGCCUCUGCUUUGGGGCUAACCUCAUGGCCUGGUGGACACCCUUGCCCUUUACUUUCAGUAUAUGGAGAGGAAGGAACCAGUGUUUAAAUACUUUAUUUAACUACUUUUGGAUUGCUUAAAAAGGCUGUUUUUCUUCUUUAACACUGUAAAUCCUGUGUUCUCUUAGCACUGGAGUGCUAGGUGAGUUAAUCCCGAACUCCCUUGCAUCCUGUCCUGUUUGUAGAUUAUAAGGAUGACAAAAUGUGAGUCUCCAAACAUUCCCAGGGUUGUUACCAGCUUUGAUUUCUAAUGCACUGCCUGCAUGAGACUGCAUUGCUGAUAGCAGCCAGUAAAACCGAUGUGAAAUGUGGUAGGUACUUCAAGUACUGAGGUGAGCUUGCUGGACACAAAGGUUCCUAAGGAGCUCCAGCCUUGAGGCACUGUUUCAGAGUAGAGCCUAGGAAAUCAGACCAGCUAUUACUGUUCUUUUGAUAUUUAAACACCCCCCCCCCCCCACCUCUUUUAAGAAGAGACUAGUUGUCAAGUCUCUGACAGUCACUGGACUGGGAAUGAAAGGCUGCUACUGUGCUCUUGGACCAUUAUCAAUGGCAGUGUUAGCUGAUGCCAAGCCAUUUUUCUUCUCUCAGCUAUAGAAAAAUAAGUAUCCUCCUGAUUUGAAGUGAUUAGACUUUAAAGUAGCACUCCUCGUAAUAGUCUGAACCUUGUGAGUCAGAGUAAAGAGUUUACUGGAAAAGACUAAUAGGAUAAAAUACUUACCCAGUCACACUGAUGAAAACCAGUCUGUAUUUGAAACAAUUGGCAUCCCCUCAUCUACUGAAAAGGAAGAGGAAGCAAAGCUGUUGUGAUUCAGAUGCAGGCCUUGCACAUUCUGUCUAGCGAUGCUAGAAGAACAAGUGUUGUAGAUGCGAAGAAAGGCAGGCUGUAAGGCAGCAGCUAAUACUCCACUCGUAGAUCUGUUAUCUGAGCCUGAGGCUUCACUGUGCAACUCAGACCCAAACAGUGUCCUUCUCAAGACCCUUUUUGCUUUAAGGUUGUAGGUUUUGUUUGUUUCAGACACGGUGCUCUUCUGCUUAGCCUCUCAAAUAUUAGGACUACAAGGAGGAACCCUACACCAGGAGCAGGAUUUUUUGGUUUUAAUACCACGUUGCAUGCACAUCAGCUAUUACACUUUUAGACUUUUUUCUAAAUGCUUUGGAUUUUUCUUUAAUUUGCUUCUAGUGCACUUUUCACUUCAUGGUUUUUGUUAGGUCAUCUUGACUGUCUUCAGGAUAUGGCCCUGAAGCCCUCUGAACCUUUAGCUCCAUUAUGGACACAAGCAAGAGUGUAUAUGAACAUUUAACUCUGAGUGUAUUGGUACAUGGAAACUUGUGAAAAUAGUCACACUAAUUAUUUAUUUAAGUAGCCUUUUGCUGAACAAGCUUAGUGGAUUGAUAAGACAUUGGGAAACCCAGCCAACAGUUAGCUUUUGUAGUCACAGAAACAACUGGUGGUAGGCACUGGAACACAGCUCACCUUCUGAACCUCUGCUGAAUUAGGGUUUGCAGGAAACACGUGUGCAAUCCUUUGUGCUGAAGAUGUGCGCUGGGGGUGAUCCAUGGGACAGGUGACCCCACUCCUUGUAUUAUUGAGUACUGAUGUGAUUUUAAAAACAAAACACAGAAUACGGUCUGUUGGCCUUUUUUCCACCCAUUUUAAACUUUAGCAAUUUUGAAAUCUAUGAAUUGUCUUGGAAGGAUACUCUGUAACAAUGAGCCAGGCCUACAGUAAUUGGAGACUUUUAAUGUAUGUAAUAUUUUAUAGAUUGCAUGCUAUUAAUACUGUGAGGUUAUUUCCUGUUUUAUUGUAAAUUUUCCCACUUAUUUGCCCAUUAACAAAAAUAUGGUUGAUAUUAGGAAUUUUAAACAAAUGUUGAAACUUUGCUGACCAGAUUGCAACCACUUUACCGAGACACAGGUACUGAGGGCUCUGGUCAAUCCUGAAAUGUCUGACUCUGUGCACAGUUUCUUUACCCUUUAAAAAAAAA